UACGAAGGGGGCUAGCGUUGCUCGGAAUUACUGGGCGUAAAGGGAGCGUAGGCGGGUCGUCAAGUUGGGGGUGAAAGCCCAGGGCUCAACCUUGGAAUUGCCUUCAAAACUGACGAUCUAGAGUAUGGAAGAGGUAAGUGGAACUCCGAGUGUAGAGGUGAAAUUCGUAGAUAUCGGGAGGAACACCAGUGGCGAAGGCGGCGAUCUGGGAAGAUACUGACGCUGAGGUGCGAAAGCGUGGGGAGCAAACAGG
rnacentral:rRNA from 1 species